CAGCCGCCGCGGUAAUACGGAGGGUGCAAGCGUUACUCGGAAUCACUGGGCGUAAAGGACGCGUAGGCGGAUUAUCAAGUCUCUUGUGAAAUCUAACGGCUUAACCGUUAAACUGCUUGGGAAACUGAUAAUCUAGAGUAAGGGAGAGGCAGAUGGAAUUCUUGGUGUAGGGGUAAAAUCCGUAGAUAUCAAGAAGAAUACCUAUUGCGAAGGCGAUCUGCUGGAACUUAACUGACGCUAAUGCGUGAAAGCGUGGGGAGCAAACAGGAUUAGAUACCCGCGUAGUCCCUGUCUCUUAUAC
rnacentral:rRNA from 1 species